ensembl:lncRNA
GGGUGGGGCACCCGGACGUCUCCUAAGGGGUCGUUCUUCCCCCCCCCCUCCGAGGUGUCAGUCGACUGGAGGGGACUGAACCACAGAUAUGUUUACAUCUUAUUAGUGCUUCCUUGCUUUGGUCCCCGCCUUAACGUGGCACCCCACCCGCCCCCAGCUGAGAGGACAUAUGUAGUAAACUAUACAGAUUAUAGCACCUGUUGUACCUUAAUUGACUUCUUCCAUCUCAUUCACGCGCUCACCAACUGUCGCCAUUUGUGAAAAGCGUCAUCUUCGGGCACAUGGAGUGUAAAUCUGGAUUCAUUUUUGCCACAUUGGACGGGAUCUGAUCACGAGGGUUGAUUGAUGUUUUUUUGUUCUCUUUUUAACUUUGCGCCAGGCUUCUCUAUGCAAUAAUUAGUAUAUGCAAUUAUGAUUUUAUUUUUCUUUCCUCAAGCAACUCCAUCUCAAAAGUCGAGUUCUUUUCUGGCUCGCUCAUCCCACUGCUAACUGCUAAACAGUCUUUGGGGCAUACGGACGGGAUGUGAGGAUGAAGUGGGGAAAAGUGUGGGGAACUUUAUGGAGUAUUAGACGAGCAGCAGACGGAUUGAGCCAAACGUCUGAGUCAGAACUGUGAAAAAAAAGUGUGUAAAUGUAUUAUUUACAUAAAAUAUACAGAGGUUUUAAUGCAAGCGGUCAAAAAGAGACACUUUUUUUCAAAUUUUUGGCAAAACUUUUGAAACUUUUGAAUUGGGUGAUAGCUAAUCGGCUGCAGCCCCUGUUGUCAUAACUCGGCGCUGCUAAGGUCCUGAGAGUAAGUGAAUAAUUACAUUUCCCAGAAUGUUGACCUUUUCCCUCCUCACGCAGGAUGUAAUGAGCCACUUCACUGCAGCAGCUUUGUCAGUACAGAGUCACCUCAUGAGUCUUAUGUCUUAUGUUGACAUUCAGAAAAUGUUUUAUGUUUAUGGAAAAAAAGACGAAGGCUGAUUAUUACAUAUUUAACUUUACAAUCAAUGUGUUUAAUGUUUGACUUGUUAGGAGGAUUCCUCUUCAAAUUAUUUAAGCUCUGGUCCAACUUGGUUUUGAAGAAAAACCAAAGAUUUUUGUUUCGAUGUUCUUUUUUGUGUUCUUAUUGUUGCCUUUUGCUGCUGUUGUGGGGCAAAUGUUCCAGAUGUGUUGCAGGAUGUGGUAUAUUCAGUUUGUCUAUUUUAAUGUGAUGCCAGAUGCAGUAUUGGGUUUGCCAGAUUAUCGUCAGCUAUAUAAAUACAAUUAUUAUUGUAAUAUAUACAUAUAUAUAUAUAUAUAUAUAUAUAUUAUACUUUAAACAUAAAGUCAUAUUUUGAUAUGAAACAUUUUCCCUCUACAUCCUUGUAAUUCCCUGUUUUUAUUUUUUAAGGAAGGAAGGUUACUUUUAUUGGAUAAUUCAUCCCUAUUACCAGUACUUCCAACAUUUUUACCAGUAAAACCUCCCAUUGCGACUUUCUGGAGGGACGGAUUACUUUCUGUUUAAAAGAGAAGAAAUCAUAAAUGGGAGACUUCUCCUCAUGAGUACAGUUGCUUCAGUGCGUUAGACUAAACCGAAGGGCUAUGCCACGCAGGUACCUCCUUCUCUUCUCAUUCCAACAUGUUUGAACUUUAAAGGGGAAGUGCCAUAGAUUAAUGCAAUAAAUGUGCAUUUGAUCCAGUAAAUCAUUCCCAGAUACACAGAUGUAAAAGCUGUGAAGGCCAUGAUCACCAAGGACGCUUUAUCUUAUAGUAAUAUUAUAUUUUGUAGUUAUUAACGAUUUGGUCUGAGCAGAUUUGUCUGUAUUCAGUAUUUAGAGUGCAAACCAUCCGAGUGACAUGUGUGUAUUUAACAGUAGUGUGUUUUACAGCAUCGGCGUCUUUAUCGAAAGGACUGAUCCUCUCGAGGAAUCUUUAACUUCUCGCGGCACAUUUAUUCGCUUCUGAAAAUGAUCCUGAAUUACUUUACUUCAACGUUUGCAUGCUGAACGGCACAAAAAACGGCCUCCGCGACAAAAUAAAAGUAGUUGGGAAGAAAAUUGAGCCAAUGCGUUCCGUAGCUCAUUGACAGGUUAUUUGUGUGCAACCGCCAUGUUGCUUUCAACAAAAGUAUUCUGUUGUUCCAAACAAACGACGGAUGUUAUUGCUAUCUUGAGAGCAACGCUGAAGCUAGCUGACCUAUAAGCAACGGAUUUUAACGUGAGGAGGGCGGGAAACCGAAAAAACAUGCUGCUAAUCCUGCUAAUGCGGCUGGUGCUGCUAAUUCUGCUAAUGCGGCUAGUGCUGCUAAUUCUGCUAAUGCUGCUAAUGCAGACAACCAGUAAGAAAAAGUGCAAUAGACGUUUAAAAAAAAAAAAUGUAAAUGCAACUGGUAGAAUUCUGACCUUUGAGUAGUCUGGGAAGCAGCAUUAGCUUGGUCUUAAUUUAUUCAUGCUGCUUUACUUGAAAGCAAGAACAUUUUACUUCUUACAUUAUUCAUGAUACAUGAACCUGCAAAGCAACAGAAUCCCGAAAGGUGAUUUAGUCUGUUUUUUAAUGCGCAAGUAAAAGAUUAAAGAAAAUAACAAAUUUCAGACUUUGUGGGCUGCGUAAACAACAACAAAUAUAAGAGAAAAGCCUAAAUCAAUGGCCGCAGAAGAAGAAAACAGAUUUAGAUUGAGUUGACAUUUAAAUAGCAGACGUAAUCCAGCAGAAGCCUCCUCUCUGAUCACGGCCUGAACUCGGUGUUUCCUUCCGUGCCAUGGGACGAAAUCCCUUCGGUGCAGCGGCCCGUCGGGCGGCAGCAGAGCUCUCGCUCACAGUUUAUCUCGUGCCAUAUAGGGGAGGGGGCCAAUAUGCAACUGGAAAAACAGGAACGCGGACCUACGAGCAUAUCAUCCAUUUAUCGAACCACCAUUUCUACAUGAUCGGUGCCCUUUUUCCUCAGGCGUGGGUGUUGUGUGUGUGUACCAUAGUCAUGUUAGCGCCUCGUCAUAGCACUCACACCAUUGUAUUAAACAUUCUUAUACUGUAUGGGUUAAGGGAGGGAGCGGUUCAUAACAUGAGAGAGAGAGAGAGAGAGACAUAUAUAUAUAUAUAUAUAUAUAUAUGUUUCUGAACUGGAUUUUAAAGUAGCAUGGUUUGAUUUGUCGAUGAUUAAUGACUCUAUUGUUUUUUGGGGGGGGUUGUUUGAUUCUCUUGUAUUUUAUUGUAUGUAUUGUACAAUCCGAUGCCCUGAGGGAGGAGGAAAAAUACAGUGACUUCUGAACUGCUGUGAACUAAAGGAAACAGUUAUUAUUAUUACGGUUAUUAUAUUUAUUUAUUUAUUUUGCACAAGUUGGAAUGGCCUUAAUUUUGCUUUACUUGCUUCUAUUGUGAAUUGGCACAAAGUGCACCCCGUUUCAUUUGCGAAAAAUUUACGAAGCUCAUUGCGAUGCUUAUAAUCUGAAAGCAAGAUGAAACAAAAAAAAGAAAAAAAAAGAAAAGUUCAGCAAAUCCUUUUUAUUUUUCAUUAAUCUGAGAAACAAUAUUUUGCAUGAAUAUAAAUACAAUGGCAGAUAUUUGGCUUGUACAAAAAAAAGUGAAGCAAUUUGAAGAGAAAAAAAAAAGAAUGUACCAUUUCUGCUGUAUCUGUAUAUAUCUAAAUAUUUAUUGAAAUAUGUCCUACUACUAAUUCUAUUAACGAUUAAAGGUUUUCUGAACAAAAAUCUCUCUACCUGUUUUUGAACAUUGUCAAGGUUGUUGGACUUGAAUCUUCUGCUCUCUGUUACUCGACUCAAGGAUCUGUGUGAUCAUUCAAGAAAAAGUAUUAAAAAUUGCAAAUAUGUCCUGGCUGUCUUUAUUGCCUGUGGGUGACAACAGGAACAUCUCAUGCUGUCCGUCAGACUUUCACCUCAUAAGUUAACUGCCUUCUUGCGUUGUUAACAAACACGUCCAAGGCAGCAUUCGUUCUGCGUCUGCUCGGUGCAGAAGUUCAGCGUUUAAAACCGUGAUGUCUUUGUUCUGUCCGAUUUGCGUGUCCUUAUCCGAUUGACAUCCUGCAGACCACAGUUAAGUUUAUUGGAGGAUGACAUGCGUGUCACAGUUCACCGCCAGGGCUCUCAGGCUCACAUUUGGGCCCUUCGUGAACCCAUUGCAUGCUGACUCAGCCCAAGUGAAUUACCCACAAGUCAUUGCAAUGUGACGUUAAAAACGGGACAACCGGUGAACCCACGGAGAGGUAAAAUAUGUGUGUUCAGACUGCCAUAAUAACAUGUAUACAUUUAUAACAUCAAGGAUUGACGAUGGAGAAAAAUACACAUCAAAUCAGACGAUAUUUAUUCAUCUAAUCCAAGUCUCAAGUCGAAGUGUCCUUGAGCAAGACACCUGACCCCUAACUGCUCCCCGGGCAAAAUGUAAAAGCCAUGGGUUUAAAGUGUACUGUAGGUCGCUUUGGAUAAAAAAGCGUCAGCUAAAUUACCUGUAAUGUAAUGUAAAAUAAGAUUUAGUCACGGAGGCAAUUUUAACGGAAA